AUCUUUGGCUCUCCUUCUCCUUUAUACCAGAACGCCGUAUCCUCUCUCUCUUUCCCUACCCUACCAAACAAAGCCCCAUCUCCUUGCUCAUAUUUCUACCUUUGUAUCUUUAUUUGAUUUAGGGGGUCGCCUGCCCCGCAAACCACACACCGAAGGGCUUCCCCAGCAGGAGCCGCCUCCGCCUAACCGACGGUCCCCCAGAUUCAGACGACUUUUAUAGGUUUGAUUGUGUUUUUAUUUUAAUUUCUAUGUCUGAAACUAGAUCUACUCUGUUCUAAGUGCUCAGUGCUAGAUCUAGGUUUGAUUGUGUUUCUAUUUAAUUUUCAAGUCUGAAAACUGUUUUUAUCUACUCUGUAUUUUAAUUUAUCUAGCUCUUUUAUUUUAAUUUUCAAGUCUGAAACCAGAGCUACCCUGUUUUUAUCUACUUUGUUCUCGGUUCUA